CCUAACAAAGCAAUACACAAUCCUUUACGUCUCUAUCAAUGAAUACCGACUGGCUUUGAGGAACGGUUCAAAGGCAGCUUCAGGGUUGUUCCAUAACAGAUAGGAAACUGAAUAAACAAAAGGUCAGAAAAUUGAUAAUACAGGAGAGGGAAACAGGAAAGAGAAAUAAAUUCGUGAAAGAAUGUAUAAUUUAAAUUUUCCUUGGUUCCCAUUAAAACUGCCAGAGCCUCAGAAGAUUGUGGGCUUAAUGUUCGUUCCAUCAGUAAUACCAUAAUUCAUUCUUUUGUUAGAUCAUGAGGACUGGAGAUGAAAAGGCCCAAAGGCCUGUGCUAGCAGAAGACUCCGGAAGAGAUUACAUAUGCAAAUAAUUCCACAGAGCUUAGACCAAGAGAAGCCUACAAACACUGGCUCCUUUCUGGAAAGGUCAGCCUGCUGUUCAGACGAAAUGUGUGCCUCUCAGCAUCUGGGAAUACCUUGGUACCAAGAGCACCUAUUAGGAGAGGCAAGAAGAAAGGCAAAACAAAAGAUAGCUUAGCCUCCACAUUUAUUUUUUAUGACAAGAACAUAAAUUCUACUCCCCGUUUGCAAUAAUUCCACAAUGUUCUGAAGAUACAUUUACAUUAGAAAAGGGUUUAAUAAUCAUUUGAAUUACUUUAGAGAGGACAUGGCUGCGACUAAAACUGGAAAAAUACAGAGCACGACAUUC
rnacentral:lncRNA from 1 species